rnacentral:rRNA from 1 species
GACGAACGCUGGCGGCGUGCCUAACACAUGCAAGUCAACUUGACUGAAGGAGCAAUCUGACAGUAGAGUGGCGCAAGGGUGCGUAACGCGUAAGUAACUUGCCCAAGGUAAGGAAUAACGUCGAGAAAUCGGCGCUAAUACCUCAUAAUGCAGCGGAUCCGCAUGGAUAUGUUGUUAAAGGUUUACCGCCUUGGGAUAGGCUUGCGUCUGAUUAGUUAGUUGGUGUGGUAACGGCACACCAAGGCUACGAUCAGUAACUGGUCUGAGAGGAUGAUCAGUCACACUGGAACUGAGACACGGUCCAGACUCCUACGGAGCGAGCAGUGAGGAAUAAUUGGGCAAAUGCUCGAAAGAGUGACCCAGCAACGCCGCGUGGAGGAUGAAGGUAUUCGUAUAUCGUAAACUCC